rnacentral:rRNA from 1 species
AUUGAACGCUGGCGGCAUGCCUUACACAUGCAAGUCGAACGGCAGCGGACCUUCGGGUGCCGGCGAGUGGCGAACGGGUGAGUAAUGCAUCGGAACGUACCUUUCAGUGGGGGAUAACGUAGCGAAAGUUACGCUAAUACCGCAUAUUCUGUGAGCAGGAAAGCAGGGGAUCGCAAGACCUUGCGCUGAUUGAGCGGCCGAUGUCAGAUUAGCUAGUUGGUGAGGUAAAGGCUCACCAAGGCGACGAUCUGUAGCGGGUCUGAGAGGAUGAUCCGCCACACUGGGACUGCGACACGGCCCAGACGCCUACGGGAGGCAGCAGUGGGGAAUUUUGGAAAAUGGGGGCAACCCUGAUCCAGCCAUGCCGCGUGGGUGAAGAAGGCCUUCGGGUUGUAAAGCUCUUUCGGCCGGGAAGAAAUCGCACAGGCUAAUACCUUGUGUGGAUGACGGUACCGGAAUAAGAAGCACCGGCUAACUACGUGUCAGCCGCCGCGGUAAGAC